UUCGACUACAUAUCAGGCAUAUCAAUAAGCGGAGGAAAAGAAACUAACUAGGAUUCCCUCAGUAACGGCGAGUGAAGCGGGAAGAGCUCAAAUUUGAAAUCUUCAAGGUUUUACCUUGACGAAUUGUAGUUUAAAGAAGUGUUUUCUGUUGGAGUUUCGGUAAAGGUUCUUUGGAAUAGGACAUCAUAGAGGGUGAGAAUCCCGUAUUUGACCGUUAUUUUCAGCUGUGUGAUACACUUUCAAAGAGUCGGAUUGUUUGGGAAUGCAGUCCAAAAUGGGUGGUAAAUUUCAUCUAAAGCUAAAUAUUGGCGAGAGACCGAUAGCGAACAAGUACCGUGAGGGAAAGAUGAAAAGAACUUUGAAAAGAGAGUUAAACAGUACGUGAAAUUGUCAAAAGGGAAGCGUUUGACACCAGUGUUGUUUUCUCGAAAAUCAAUUAAAAAUAAAUUUGAUUUUGUGUUGUAUUGACCUUAAAAGCUUUCUUCACUUUUUUCAUGUUUAUUUUUAAUGCACUUUUCGUUUAACAAGUCAACAUCAGUUUCUUUUGUUGUAAAAGGUCAUUGGAAGGUGGCUUUCAUCUUUCGGUAGAAAGUGUUUAUAGCCUUUGACUUCCUGCAAUCGGAGAGAUUGAGGUCUGCAGCGUAGAUCCUUCUGGAUUAGAUACAUUUGUGCUAAGUUAUAGUUUUUCAUAGACAGCAUGUUGACUAUGAUUAGUCAUGUAGCUUACUCGCUUAUGCUAAUUUUACCUACGCUUAGGAUGUUGACGCGCGUGUGUGCGUG
rnacentral:rRNA from 1 species